CUCUUCCUGUUCAUAAUAAUAAGGAAUCCUUACUCUAGUGUCACAUUUACUUGUAGCUUUUAAAUUUUUGAUACACAAUAUAUAUGAUGCUUCCAUGCUUGUCAAGUUUUUUGCAAUAUUGUUUUUUUCUAUAUUGCACCCAGAACUGAAUGUUUGAUUGUAUCAGGCAGGUAACAUUGUGAGUAGGCCUUUUGGCCUGUUUACUUUUUGAUUGGAUCAGGCGUUCAUGUAAACAUGGUAGCUCCAACUCUUGUUUCAAGAGUGAGUAGUUCGCCGAAACUGCAUUUUAGUAAAUAGGGGUUACUUCUCAAAUCUGAGAAAUUUAAAACCAAUCCUCAUUGCUGACUGGCAGUGUAUAUACAGUAAUGGUAUAUGAAGAUGAACUUGGCAAAAACUCAGCUUUUACCUUUGAAAUAUAUGUACAGAAUUUCCAGAUCUAAUCUGAAAUGUCAAUUAGGAAAUGCUGGGCAUUAUCUUUGACCUUUCAAACAAAAAACCUACUGUAUGGACAAACACAAAUCAUACUACUGUCCUUUGUUUAGAAAUGCUGAGCAUUAUUUUGUUAGUGGGUUUAUAUGGCCUCAACUUCUGCUGCUAUAGUACUUGAGUUUUGUGAUGUGUGUUUGUUAGUCAUUUGACUUUCAUUCGGCACACUUCUCUCUGGUGACCGCUUUCUCUCUGAAUCUUUAACCCUAAAUUUUCUCUGAAUUUCUUCUGUAUCUUGUACACUGCAGGAUAACAAGUACAGACAAACUGCAGGGUACCAAGUAGAGACAAACCGCAGGGUACAAGUACAGACACUGUGGUAUGUUGCUGUCCAUCAGAAUCCGCCAUGCCAUAUAGUUGCCAUCAGGAGGGUUGACGACAAGAACACGAGUGACAACCUUUGUAGUUAUAUGUUUUGCUGAUGUAAAUUGGAUUGUACCGGUUCCUAAUCCUAUGGAUGGUUGCAUAUUGAGUGAUUUUGUCAAUAUAUGGUGUAUAUUAUCAUUUCAUGGAGGAUAUUAUAAACUGCUAGGUUCUACAUACCUAUAGAUGGUUGCAUAUUGAGUGAUUUGUGUAACA